AGGGGGGGGAAGAGUUAGUUUUAUAAGUUUCCGAUGUGAGACAAAAUAAAAAGGAGGUUUGAGAUUAAAUUUUAAAUAAAAAUAAUAGAUAUUUGGGUCACAGUCAUUACAAUCUACCUCAUUUAGUUAGAAUUCUCCUCAAAUCCAAGCAGAAUCCGAAAAAAACUUAAACAAUAUCUAAGGAAAGAAUAACAUGAAACUAGAGACAACUAUGGGUUAAGAAGAAUAGAACGCAAAUAGGAACUUAGACACAUAAAGCAACAAAAAAACUAUUUUCUGAACGUCUUCUUGAACUCUCCUUUGGAACGAUAAAGAGCAAAAUAUUAGACGACAACCUAAUAACUAAGAAUAUGUAUUGAUCGUCUCAUGCAAAAAGUAUAAUUGAUUCAGAAACGAUAAAGAUAAUCGAAUAAUACUGGAUAGAAGGGUGACACUUUUUUAAAAGAAUCUCCAAUCCCCCAAAAUUGUUAAAUAUUGAAUCUCCUAACCGUCUCCCAGGUCAGAACUGGGACGACAAUUCGUUCUGAUAUCAAAUUGUAACACUUAUCGCAUCCUCUCUUGAGAAUGGUGUGUUAAUUAACUACACAUGUCCAACUC
rnacentral:lncRNA from 1 species